CCACUAUCUGUGGGGAAAUUGAGCAGGUGUAUACUCUCACAGCUGAGAGAUAUGAACUCGAUACAACACUGCAGCAAGUGGGAAAUGGACUGCAGUUUGAAAACGCUCACCAUGCCUAAACACGUGAAGAAGAUGUGGACAAAGUCUGGGGCACUGGGGUUGGUCAGUGACCCGUCCAGCUGACCCUGUAAUACAAGGGAGUGUGUCAGCAAAUCGGGGGAAUCGUCUAAAAUCUCUCCAAAACCUCUGUGGACGACAUGUAAAGAUCUGAAGAGGAGUUUACCAGCAGGUUGAAUCCAUAUUUGAUUUUCUGGAGACAGGAGAUAUAUUCCUCCCAAGAUGGCAGACCGUCAGCUGGUGCUGCUGGACAGACACAAUUAUGAUACAUACAAAACUCUACUAUUUAUAACCAGUCUACUGUCUGUGCCUUUACUUUUCUCUCAUAACUUCCUUAAUGGCAUCUGCCUGUGGAAUCAGAGAAGAAUAUUACCAGUUUUCUUUGAUUUUUUCUUCUUCGCAUUUUUCUUCUUGCCCUUGUCCUUCUGCACUGACGGUGCAUUCACUGCAGCAGUAACUUUGUCCAUGAAAAUCUCCAAAUCACCUAGAAUGUGGUUUAAAAUGUCCUGUAAAAGGAAUGAUAAGACAAUGAUAUUCGUAAAAAUUGAUUAUUGAUACAAUCCACUCCCUACAACUUAUGUAAACAGUUAUGGCAGCACUGACUGUGUUCCUCUUUGUGUCUGCUUGCUCAGGAGGAACCUCUGGGCUACUCUGUGAUUCACGAAGAUCGGGAGGUCGAAGCAUCUCUUCUUGUGCGGUGUAGUCCCGUGGGGGAGACAUUCUCUCUACUUGGAAAUCAUAAAAAAGAAUUUGUCGACCUUAUUCUUGUGGUGUGACACUGUACCUGAUGUCAGACUGGUCCCUGCGUGGUUCCACAUCACUGUCUCUUCUCUGGACGGCUUUAUCCAGAUCGCCCUUGAUGAUCUCCGCCUUGUGAGACAGAAACAGAACAACACAAAUGUUAUAAAAAUACUGAUAAUGGUUCCAGAUAGUGACUGUUUAUGAUUUCAGAGAUUGUACAAUGUGGCUAACACAUCCUCCCCUUCUCCGGAGGCUGUCGAGAGGCAAAGGAAGUGGACUCACCCCUGUCUCCUCACACUGGAACAUGAAGACCUGGGGGUGGCGUUUGCCAUGAUCCUGGACAGUAAUCGUCAGCAGAGAGUUGUAGGCACAGCUGUCCAGUAUGGCCUUGGUUUGCCUGAUGCUUCUCAAAGGUAGUGACUCCAGCUCAAUCUUUAAAAUCAAACAGAUGGGACAGAGAUUGAUACCACCGUGUAAUGAAGAAAUCAUUUAAUAAUACGCACAGCUUAAAAUGAAUGUGGAAAUUAUCAACACAGCUAUUUUAACUUCAUAUUAAAAACAUACUUGUAUAAUUAUGCUUCAUGUUUACUCACAGCUUUAUUUUGUGUAAUUAUUUUUUUCCUUAAUUAAUUCUUAAUUCAACAAAAAAGCAAUGUUCUUCCAGCUUGGUUUCUGGAACUGUUUCCUGUUCCUACAUGACAAAGCCCCUGAGGGAUGGAAGGCCCACGAAGACCUGAUAAUAACAAUUGUUAAGAUGUCCACAUACUUUUGGACAUGCAGAGUGCCUGUUUAGACUGUGGAGAAUACUACCGACCUUGGACUCAAUGUCGCUGAGCAGUAAGUUUCCUCCCUGAGCCUCCAUGAUCAUCUCCUGCGGCCACAGGCGACCUUUGGUAUCCAGCCUCUUGAGCUUGGCCACGCAGUCGUCCAGUCUCUUCAUCUCCUGGCCGUCCAUCUCACAGGUGAACAAAUGCUGUGGAGUCAACGUUCAGGGUCAUGAGUAGGGAGUGUAUCGUCGCAGUCAUUUGUUUUGUCUCCAUGCUGGUUCCUUAUUUACCUCCACUCUGACGUGAAAUUCGUCAGUAUGUUUGUUCAGCGUCUCAGAGUAUUCCUUUCUCUGCACUGAUGAAAAGAACAUUUUUUUCAAUAAAAAAGUAAAAUGCUAUUA